rnacentral:rRNA from 1 species
GAGACUCUGUGCGCGUGCAUAUCAAUAAGCGGAGGAAAAGGAACUAACAAGGACUCCCUUAGUAACGGCGAGUGAAGCGGGAAGAGCUCAAAUUUGAAAUCUUCAAGGUUCUACCUUGACGAAUUGUAGUUUAUAGAAGUGUUUUCUGUUAGUAGAGUGGCAAAAGUUCUUUGGAAUAGGACAUCAUAGAGGGUGAGAAUCCCGUAUUUGGUCAUUCUUUCUAGCUUUGUGAUACACUUUCAACGAGUCGGAUUGUUUGGGAAUGCAGUCCAAAAUGGGUGGUAAAUUUCAUCUAAAGCUAAAUAUUGGCGAGAGACCGAUAGCGAACAAGUACCGUGAGGGAAAGAUGAAAAGAACUUUGAAAAGAGAGUUAAACAGUACGUGAAAUUGUCAAAAGGGAAGCGUUUGACACCAGUGUUGUUUUUCCGAAAAUCAAUUACGAAUGUUUUGUUUUUGAGGAGUUAUGACUUCAUCGGCUUGCUCCUUUCUUUAUGAAACUUUCUUAAUGCACUUUUCGGUUAACAAGUCAACAUCAAUUUCUUUUGUUGUAAAAGGGCAUGAGGAAGGUGGCUUUCUUUUCGGAGAAAGUGUUUAUAGCCUUGUAGCCUCUGCAAUCGGAGAGAUUGAGGUCUGCAGCGUAGAUCCUUCGGGGUUAGAUACAGUUUGUGCUAAGUUAUAGCUUUUCAUAGACAACUUGUUGACUAUAUUUAGUCUUGUAGGCUUACUCGCUGAUGCUAUUUUACCUACGCUUAGGAUGUUGAACUCUAUCACACACAG